UAGAUUAAAAUUUAAGGUCUGACCUGCUCGCUGACUUGUUUUGAAGAGCCGCGGUAUUUUGACCGUGCAAAGGUAGCAUAAUCAUUAGUCUCUUAAUUGGGGGCUGGUAUGAAUGGUUUGACAAGGAAUUAACUGUCUCUUUUUAAUGUUUAGAAUUUAACUUUUAAGUUAAAAGGCUUAAAUUUUUCUUUAGGACGAGAAGACCCUAUAGAGCUUUAUAUUUUAUUUUAAUAUAGUUUUCUGUUGAAUUUUUCUAUUUUGAAUAAGGAUAUUUUGUUGGGGUGACAUGAAGGAUAAUUAAACUCUUCAUUUUUUUUGAAUCAUUGAUUGAUGUUUUCUUGAUCCAUAAUUUGUGAUUAAAAGAUUAAGUUACCUUAGGGAUAACAGCGUAAUUGUUUUAGAGAGCUCAAAUCGACAAAGCAGAUUGCGACCUCGAUGUUGGAUUAAGAAAAAUGCUGGGUGCAGUAACUUAGUAAUUAGGCUGUUCGACCUUCAAAUUCUU
rnacentral:rRNA from 1 species